rnacentral:miRNA from 14 species
GGCGUCGGUGCCGUGUUCUGUUCCUGACCCGACCGGCGGGCGCCCACCGUUCCGUCACAGAACACGGGACCGGCCGAAU